rnacentral:rRNA from 1 species
GACGAACGCUGGCGGCGUGCUUAACACAUGCAAGUCGAACGAUGAAGCCUAGCUUGCUAGGUGGAUUAGUGGCGAACGGGUGAGUAAUACGUGAGUGACCUACCUUUGACUCUGGGAUAAGCCUGGGCAACUGGGUCUAAUACCGGAUACGACCAAUCUCCGCCUGGGGUGUUGGUGGAAAGCGUUAUGGAGUGGUUUUAGAUGGGCGCACGGCCUAUCAGCUUGUUGGUGAGGUAAUGGCGUACCAAUGCGACGACGGGUAGCCGGCCUGGGAGUGUGACCGGCCACACUGGCACUGAGACACGGCCCAUACGGCAUCGGGAGGCAGCAGUGGGGAAUAUUGCGCAAAGGGCGGAGGCCGGAUGCAGCGACUCCGCGUGGGGGAUGACGGCUUUCGGGUUGGAAAACUCUGUUAGCAUCGAAGAAGCGAAAGUGACGGUAGGUGCAGAGAAAGCGCCGGCUAACUACGU